CAAUGUUGCUCUAUGAAUCCAAAUUGAACCAAAGCGCUGCCGAAACAGACAACAAAAUUAACCAGAUUUCUGGCAAUGAUAGUGUUAAUGGUCAGACAGUGCGUUCUAGCCUUAAAAAUGAGCCUCGAAAUGGUCGACCUAUUAAAACAGAAGACGAGGAUUUGAGAACCCUGGUGGGAAUUUUGAUGCUUUGAAACGUAUUGAAGAGCGAAAAAAUUCGAAAAGUGAAUGGCCCACAAUUCGAACGAUCGAUAGAAUUGGUCACGUUUUGAGAUCUGUUCUUUUUUGCUUUUGUGUAACCGAAACGAUCCUUUUUUGGAUCGGAUCGUCACGUGUGAUGGGACGUAGCUCCUCUACGACAACAGAUGUUCAGGACAGUAGCCACCUAGGCAUUUCUUGAAGUCAAAAUAUCACCAAAAAAGACCAUGGUUUCUGUAUGGUGCUGGCACUGGUCAACAGAAAAGUUUCGAUACUGCUGAUCCUGAACAAUUGUUUUUCGAGCAAUAGAAAUCUCGUUGUGAAUCAGCAAUGGAAUUUGGGACUCAUAUCAAAUGGGCCCGAAAGAAAUAUCGACGUGUACGACCUCAUUUAUGAUUCAGGUUGUAUGAUCUCAUUAAGGCGAAACAUCGGUGUAUACCAGUGAGGGUGACAGUGUUCUAUGAACAACAAGGAUGAUACGCUGCGGAAGCCAUGAGAAGCAACAACACCACUGCCAUCAGCACCCUCACCAACCCUUGGACGCCAUGUGGAGGCCCCAGGAGGAUACCGAGGAAGAAGCUCCCAUUCCCCCAGCCAGCAGUGGAAGACUGGGAGCAGUGGAAGACCCGACGGAGCAAAUCCAGGACAUCCUAGAGGAGUACCACAGGCGAUCUGAUAGAGGACACCGCACGGCCUAGAACACCCUGAACUCUCAGGCAUACUUCCCUCGAUCCAACCCGAUUUCUUAAGAACAACCACCGCUUUGGACCCGGACACUCCAACAAAUUAUGCAACUUCUAACUCCGAAAAUUUUAAUUGAAAUUAUUUGUAAAAAACCCAAUCCUCAAGAGGCAUUACCCUUUAACAGGAAUCCCCUCAUAUCAUUAUAUAUAUGUAACUUAUUCUAUCAAUCCGCAAAUGAAUAAACAUUUCUCUCUCUC